rnacentral:rRNA from 1 species
CCUACGGGUGGCAGCAGUGGGGGAUAUUGCACAAUGGGGGAAACCCUGAUGCAGCGACGUCGCGUGUGGGAAGACGGUCUUCUGGAUUGUAAACCACUGUUCUCAGGGACGAAAAUGACGGUACCUGGGGAGGAAGCUCCGGCUAACUACGUGCCAGCAGCCGCGGUAAUACGUAGGGAGCAAGCGUUGUCCGGAAUUACUGGGUGUAAAGGGAGCGUAGGCGGGGAUGCAAGUUGGGGGUCAAAACUACCGGCUCAACCGAUAGUCGCACUCAAAACUGCAGCUCUUGAGUGAAGUCGAGGCAGGCGGAAUUCGUAGUGUAGCGGUGAAAUGCGUAGAUAUUAGGAGGAACACCAGUGGCGAAGGCAGCCUGCUGGGCUUUUACUGACGCUGAGGCUCGAAAGUGUGGGGAGCAAACAGGAUUAGAUACCCUUGUAGUC